rnacentral:rRNA from 1 species
AGAGUUUGAUCCUGGCUCAGGAUGAACGCUGGCGGCGUGCCUAACACAUGCAAGUCGAGCGAUUCUCUUCGGAGAAGAGCGGCGGACGGGUGAGUAACGCGUGGGUAACCUGCCCUGUACACACGGAUAACAUACCGAAAGGUAUGCUAAUACGAGAUAAUAUGCUUUUAUCGCAUGGUAGAAGUAUCAAAGCUUUUGCGGUACAGGAUGGACCCGCGUCUGAUUAGCUAGUUGGUAAGGUAACGGCUUACCAAGGCGACGAUCAGUAGCCGACCUGAGAGGGUGAUCGGCCACAUUGGAACUGAGACACGGUCCAAACUCCUACGGGAGGCAGCAGUGGGGAAUAUUGCACAAUGGGCGAAAGCCUGAUGCAGCAACGCCGCGUGAGCGAUGAAGGCCUUCGGGUCGUAAAGCUCUGUCCUCAAGGAAGAUAAUGACGGUACUUGAGGAGGAAGCCCCGGCUAACUACGUGCCAGCAGCCGCGGUAAUACGUAGGGGGCUAGCGUUAUCCGGAAUUACUGGGCGUAAAGGGUGCGUAGGUGGUUUCUUAAGUCAGAGGUGAAAGGCUACGGCUCAACCGUAGUAAGCCUUUGAAACUGGGAAACUUGAGUGCAGGAGAGGAGAGUGGAAUUCCUAGUGUAGCGGUGAAAUGCGUAGAUAUUAGGAGGAGCACCAGUUGCGAAGGCGGCUCUCUGGACUGUAACUGACACUGAGGCACGAAAGCGUGGGGAGCAAACAGGAUUAGAUACCCUGUAGUCCACGCCGUAAACGAUGAGUACUAGCUGUCGGAGGUUACCCCCUUCGGUGGCGCAGCUAACGCAUUAAGUACUCCGCCUGGGAAGUACGCUCGCAAGAGUGAAACUCAAAGGAAUUGACGG